GGGCAAGGGGGCUCAUGAAGUGUUGUCUCAGGAGCUGUCCAACCAUCUCUGCACAAUGCUGAGGAGAGAGGAGUUUUUAGUCAGUAUUGAUCCAGCGGAAAAAGUAUUUCACUGUGGAGCAAGUGAGAUAAAAAGCAUUAGAAGAAAACAUGUGAGUCAUAGAAAAUGACAUUUGGACAUACAAAUGAGUAGUGUGGGCAUAUUAACUGAGGACAUGUGAAAUGAGUUUUGAAAUGACAGCAACAACAAGAAAAGAAAGAUGAAAUGAGAGGGAUGCAGUGAAAAGAGGGAACUGAACAACAAUGAUUAUGCUUGCUUUGGAAUGGGCUGCUGGCUAGUGGGAAAAGUGAUGGUUACAGCUGGAUAAAUUUCUCAGUUUUUGAUGGAUUUUGCAGCUGGGAUGAUGACAUAGACCACUUGUCAACAGGAGUCUUUUCCUUGAUUUAUAACCUGGUCACCCAUCCAUUUCCAAACAUCACUUCCUCUAUACUAUACACUUCUGAAAUUGUGCCCCUCAAAACUGGAGAAGUCAUUGGAAUAAUAAAGAAAAAUGCAGAGUUCUUUCAAGAACUAAUAGUUUUGUUAUCUUGUGUGAGUCAGCUUGUGUGGGAGUCGAAGAGCUUUGUAGCACAUUUGUUAACUCUAUGCAGCUAUUGAGGUUCAGGGUUUAAAUGAAUGCCUGUGAAAGUUGUCUCAUCCAACCAUAUCAAUUUAUUUUAAGUUUUUGGAACAAAUAUAUUCUUACAAUCUCUUUGGUAUUGGGCUAAAUUCCUUAGUGUAAAAUGAAUUGCUUAUCAGAUUUUGCACAUUAUGAAAGCUGUACCCAAAAUGUUGCCAGGCUUGAGUCUUAUUAAUUGGUGGAAUUUAAAGUUGAAUGCAGAUGGUAAGCCUAUUAAUAAGUGAUGGGUGGGGAAGUACACUCUGGUGCUUAGAAAAAUAUUAUAUGUCAAGUGUACUGUAUAGAUUAAGAUAAAACUGAUUUUUGUCCCUAAGGAAUUUCUAUAUAUACAUGCAAAUUAGACUUAAUAUAUGUACGUCAAAGAAAAGAACAACUGCGGCAGGAUGAAAUUGCUCACUUUUAGUGAAAAAUAGAAAUAGUCUCAUUAAGAGAGAAUAUUAAACAAAAGAGAGAGUGUAACCAUCCUAAGCCAUCCAUGACCGAGGAAAUAUAUUUUAAUUAAAUACGGCAUCUCUCUACCUAGUCUAACACACUGAGAAGAUGCAGACCUGCAAUAUCCAGAUGUGUAUUCCAGAGCCUGAUGUGGCUGCCUGUGUGCUUUGCAAUGGGUUUGCAAGCCGUGGCAAAGACAAUGAACAUUUUAUGAGGAUACCACAAAUUCUCACGGAAAGUAAAAAGCUGCUGUAUCACAGAGGUGAUGUCCCACACUGAAUUCUGAACAUCUCAUUGAGAUCUGUAUUACAAAGAAAGAAAGACAAGCUCAGAUCCUUUCCUUUCCAGUUGAUGGGGAUGUAUGAUUGUGGACAUCUUGCAGGACAGCCCUGUACAAGUAUUUAAACAAAAGGCUCGGUCACUCUGUUCUAAACUUUGCAUUUCAGCAAGCUUGCUUUGCAAAUGUGCAGACCCCCAGGCUCCCAGCAUCCACUGCACAUCUGCAAGGAAGGAGUACUUUGCAGAUAACCUAGGAUAGGAUCAGACCCACACUGGUUGCUCAGAGUACUGGGGACAUUUAUGAUAGAGACAAAAGCAACAGCUUUACUUCUAGCUGUUUGAAAGGAAGCCUUUCCUGCAGAAGUGAAUCUGAGAGAUGAAAUGGAUGAAGCCAAAUUAGUCAAAUAGAAUUUUUAUAAAAAUGAUUCUAAAACCCACAAAAUGUAAUAAGCAGUAAUAUUACCAGUGAAAAAUUCUGUAAGUUUGGCUAAAAUAACCAGGCCACAGUCUGUUCACUGGCACCAUAGUUAUUCUACUAAGAACAGCCCGCGUAUGAAAAUAAACACUAUGUAAUACAUUAUGAAUAAUAAACAGUUAUAUACU
ensembl:lncRNA